CUGUAUGCUGCUGUUCAUUAAACUAAGAUGAACAUGAUAUGCACCUACCUCUUUUACAGACAAAUCUGUGAUUAUUGAUAUAAUUCUACUGUCAUACUGUGACCUUCUACUAAUCAACAGCUCCCUGACCCCUGACCCUACCUAAUCAUCUUCAGUGUCUGCAAAGCAUGCUGGACCCCAAGGUGACAAGAUGGAAGAAGCCAAUGACUGGUCAUUGCAGAAGAAAGAAUGAGAGCCCCAGGCUGAGGAAGAGCCAAUGGGAUGAUGGAGCCAACUGUGAACUAAGGCAGCUGCCAGGGGUUCUGUGAUGAGCAAAUGGAUUCUUUUUUUAUGUAGCCUUUAUUCACAUUUUUAUGUUUGAUUUUGUCCUUUGAUUAUAAUGACAGGUUGUGGUUACAUAUUAUUAGAGAUGAAUACUAAAGAAGUGACUAAAUAAAAGGGCAAGAAAUUGAGGAUGAUUGGUGUCAUCCCAGCAGGGAAGGAAGGCAGACAACAAUAUCUUUUUAUUCUCAGUCUCAAAUGCUACAUGUACCUGACCCGGAAUAAGCUUAGAAUAUUUGCUUUAUUCCGUGGUGCUUUUGUGCUGCUGUCCAAUGAACAGAGGCUAUGGCUGGUGGAGGGCAAUUCCAUCUCUGCAAACCUGAGGCUAUUGAACAUAUUUAUCUAUAAUGACAUAUAUAUUUUAUGGGUAUAUGCUGUGGCACUUAUUCCUCCAUUUCUGAAGUUCUUCUCUCAAACCCUUUAUUCCUCCUUUCCACAAUUCAGCCACAAUCAAAUCCCUUCUAAGGAGAGAAAAUGAAUCACUUUUUCUGUCUUGGGAAUACUGUAUGUAUCAAAGCUGAUUUGGGGGGCGGGACCUGAAAUUUUAGAAAUCUUAGGGAAUUGGGUAUUAGAGUCUAAACCUUAUAGCUACAUCACCUUGGUCUUGGUAAUUGAUUUGCUCUCAAAUUUCAGGUACCUUCUUUUCUUUGAGAUAUUUAGAUUUUUGCAUAUACCAAGGGGAAACUCUUGUCAAUGGACACCAGGAGUCACAUACAGGAAUGUUCACAGCAGUGAUGUUUAUGAUAACAACAUUAGAUUGAGACCAAUCUAAAAGUCCUUUGAAAGGAGAAUGAUGAAACUGAGACAAAUGGAUACAAUUGAGUACUACACAACAGUGACAGUGAAAACUAUCGCCAUUUGCAUUUAUCUUGGACAUAUGUCCAACAUUUUUCAUGUAUGAACUCAUACGUACCUCUGUGGACGUAUCAAUUCAUAUGACGAUUUUAGAAAAUAGUUUAUUAUUAUCUGAUACUGUUGGAAAUAUAAUAAACA